rnacentral:rRNA from 1 species
UACGGAGGGUGCAAGCGUUAUCCGGAUUCACUGGGUUUAAAGGGUGCGUAGGUGGGUCUGUAAGUCAGUGGUGAAAUCCCCGAGCUUAACUUGGGAACUGCCGUUGAUACUAUAGAUCUUGAAUAUCGUGGAGGUAAGCGGAAUAUGUCAUGUAGCGGUGAAAUGCUUAGAUAUGACAUAGAACACCAAUUGCGAAGGCAGCUUACUACACGAUCAUUGACACUGAGGCACGAAAAGCGUGGGGGAGCAAACAGG